AUUAAGCAGUAGUCAGGUUAAAGCAGGGUAAUUCCAGCAUUAUUUCCUACCGAUGAAUAAUUAACACAAUGUUUUAUUUGCCUGCCAAUGCUGGGUGUCGGAAAUGCUUGUUAAUUGUGUUUCCUCUGACUCGACUCUCAACAACUCUUUCGGUUUUAAUUAAUAGGAAAUUAAUUUUGCAGUGUUCUGUUUUGACAUGGUUAAUUUACAUGGACUCGGGACCAAAACAUCAAAGAAGCACCUUCGUAAGUGCACAGCAACACCUACAACUUCAUAGUGAUACCCUUUCUUCAUUGACAGAGCUGUCAUUGUGAGUUCAGAGCGAGAUGUUCCGAAUCUGGACUUUUUUCUUGUUCCUCUGAAGUUCUUUCAUCUGUACAGGGUUACACAAGCAUGCGAGUUUAUGCGAGUCUGUGACGGUGAAAUAAGCAAGUGCUUUAGGAGCUUUAUCUUCUAGUGCAACUUGACUCAAACGGCAGAAAUAAAACACAUCAACACAAUACUUUCAGUGUUGUCUCUGUAGCAUGAAUUAGUUUUUCUUUAUGAUUUCCUUGCAUACUGUUCUUAACAGCUUUUCCAUAUUUUGUCUUAACUAAUCUUUGCACUAGGUAGCUCCGCCCCCAGUGGAAUCUCAUUGGCCCAAAAUCCUAUUCCAAAAAGCUGGAUAUUUACCAUCUAAAACUUGACAUUAAAAACAGAUUUUGCCGACA
rnacentral:lncRNA from 1 species